AAUUUGAUGCCUGAUUAAAGGAUUACCUUGAUGGGGUAAACAAUGCAACUUGUUGCUCAAAUUA
rnacentral:tRNA from 2 species